rnacentral:rRNA from 1 species
GAUGAACGCUGGCGGCGUGCCUAAUACAUGCAAGUCGAGCGAACAGACGAGGAGCUUGCUCCUCUGACGUUAGCGGCGGAAGGGUGAGUAACACGUGGAUAACCUACCUAUAAGACUGGGAUAACUUCGGGAAACCGGAGCUAAUACCGGAUAAUAUAUUGAACCGCAUGGUUCAAUAGUGAAAGACGGUUUUGCUGUCACUUAUAGAUGGAUCCGCGCCGCAUUAGCUAGUUGGUAAGGUAACGGCUUACCAAGGCAACGAUGCGUAGCCGACCUGAGAGGGUGAUCGGCCAAACUGGAACUGCGACACGGUCCAGACUCCUACGGGAGGCAGCAGUAGGGAAUCUUCCGCAAUGGGCGAAAGCCUGACGGAGCAACGCCGCGUGAGUGAUGAAGGUCUUCGGAUCGUAAAACUCUGUUAUUAGGGAAGAACAAAUGUGUAAGUAACUAUGCACGUCUUGACGGUACCUAAUCAGAAAGCCACGGCUAACUACGUG